rnacentral:miRNA from 2 species
UAGGAUAGACAUGAACAUUUUG